UGGGGAAUUUUGGACAAUGGGCGAAAGCCUGAUCCAGCAAUGCCGCGUGUGUGAAGAAGGCCUUCGGGUUGUAAAGCACUUUUGUCCGGAAAGAAAUGGCUCUGGUUAAUACCUGGGGUCGAUGACGGUACCGGAAGAAUAAGGACCGGCUAACUACGUGCCAGCAGCCGCGGUAAUACGUAGGGUCCAAGCGUUAAUCGGAAUUACUGGGCGUAAAGCGUGCGCAGUCGGUUGUGCAAGACCGAUGUGAAAUCCCCGAGCUUAACUUGGGAAUUGCAUUGGUGACUGCACGGCUAGAGUGUGUCAGAGGGGGGUAGAAUUCCACGUGUAGCAGUGAAAUGCGUAGAGAUGUGGAGGAAUACCGAUGGCGAAGGCAGCCCCCUGGGAUAACACUGACGCUCAUGCACGAAAGCGUGGGGAGCAAACAGG
rnacentral:rRNA from 1 species